AGCGAACGUUUGCGGCGGGCUUAACACAUGCAAGUCGAACGAGAAUCCCUUCGGGGAGGAAAGUGGCGCACGGGUGCGUAACACGUGGAUAACCAACCCAUUGGUUUGGGACAACACCGGGAAACUGGUGCUAAUACCAGAUGUGUCGCAGCUGUCUUCAGGCGGUUGCGAGAAAGGCCCGCAAGGGUCGCCAACGGACGGGUCCGCGUCCCAUCAGCUAGUUGGUGAGGUAAUGGCUCACCAAGGCAAAGACGGGUAGCUGGUCUGAGAGGAUGAUCAGCCACACUGGAACUGAGACACGGUCCAGACUCCUACGGGAGGCAGCAGUGGGGAAUAUUGCGCAAUGGGCGAAAGCCUGACGCAGCCACGCCGCGUGAGCGAUGAAGGUCUUCGGAUCGUAAAGACUCUGUGGGGGAGGAAGAAG
rnacentral:rRNA from 1 species